rnacentral:lncRNA from 1 species
GACUCUGGCGCAAACUAGUGGAUCUUGGGGACGGUGUUGAAGUUUCUAUUUGAUGCUGAUAGAGUGCUGAGGGGUGGAGGAUACCUUUGGGUGAAAACCCUAGUUUGUGACGGCAAUGAGAAAAAAAUGAGAUUUAGGAUUUGCUUGAGUAAAGAGAGAGAAUAAGAAUGAAAACAGGGACAAAAUUGUAAUUUACUUUUCAAAUGGGUAAUGUGUACUCGCGGAUACGGAUAAUAUGUUACGCGAAUCUGAUACGUUAAUAAGCUGGUAUUAAAAUACUCGUUAUCCGUUACACAGUACCUCUUACUCACGAGUACUAAAUACCCAAUACGAAUUUUAUCCGCAGAUACCCGCGAUACGAGUUUUUUUGUCAUCAAAGUGUUUAUUUUUUUUGAUAUUCCCACUAUUAAAAUUAGAUUAGAGACAGUAACUUUUUUUACUAAUAAUUUUUAGUUCAUAAAUUG